GACGUAGGGGGCGAGCGUUGUCCGGAAUUACUGGGCGUAAAGCGUGCGCAGGCGGUUCGUUAAGUCAGCUGUGAAAGCCCCGAGCUUAACUUGGGAAUUGCGGUUGAAACUGGCGGACUAGAAUCUGGCAGAGGGGGGUGGAAUUCCACGUGUAGCAGUGAAAUGCGUAGAGAUGUGGAGGAACACCGAUGGCGAAGGCAGCCCCCUGGGCUGAGAUUGACGCUCAGGCACGAAAGCGUGGGGAGCAAACAGG
rnacentral:rRNA from 1 species